UCUCUGAAGCUUUUGUCGACCAUGGCUGCCAUUCGCUUGGAUGAGAAGCCAGAUAAUAUUGAAAAUGUCCUCGUUUCUUCUCUGGUGGACGGGACUGUUACUGUUUCAUCUUCACAAAAUAGGAAACUAGGACCUUCUACAGAUCCUCUUGCCUCAAGCUCUUGGGAAGAGGUACCAUUAAUUUAUGGGUUUGGUUUUUAUGUAAAUUUUUUCUAUAAUGAAACUCCUUUCUUAUUAAGGUUAACUCUAAACUAGGUUUCUUCAAAGGAUACCUUAAUUACCCCAGUACAGUGCAAGUCAUUGUGGAGGCAGUUCAAAGCAGAGACGGAAUAUAGCGUCACUCAAGCUAUUUCGGCACAGGUAUACUUAAGUUUAACUUCAGUAGUCUAAUUGUUUUUAUAUCGUUUAAUCAGAGUUGCAUCCCGAUUAAAUGGAUUUUGUCUUUUAUAAAAUGUUCUUUGAAGAUUUGGAUUAUGAAAAUAUGAAUAUUGGAACAUGUUUCUGCAAAAGUAAUGAACAACUGGUAGGAGGAACGUGGAAAUAGGACGCCUGCAUUGUCCUCGGAUGACAUUUUGGGCGGGAGUUCUUAUGUAAAUUGGAUUUAGUUUAGUAGUGAAACCAAACAUAUGGAAACACUUCAUAUUGAAAAUCGAGCUGAUUCUUGACUUGGGAACAGUUAGUCAGAUAGGACCAACUUAUAAUCAAGUUCAGUGUAUUCUUGUUUUUUCUACAAAGAAAAAUCCUAGCAUCCUAAUACUAUUUUUGUAACGAGCUCCCUAUCUUUAUGCUUAUAGCUCUGCUUGAUCAUGAUGUUGUUUGCUUUUGUACUUUCAGGAGGCUCACAAGCGGAGUAACAACUGGUUACCUCCUCCAUGGGCUAUAAUGGCGAUGAUCGUUCUUGGUUUUAACGAAUUUAUGAUGCUUUUAAAGUAAUUACUUUCGUUCUUUUUUGUUUCCUUUUGCGAGUUUUAGGUUUUGGACAUUUUUAAGUGUCCAGACCCUAAUGUCUUGCACAUAUGUUAAUCACUGUGCCUUUUUUCUUCAAAUGAAACAGGAACCCUCUCUACCUCAUGGUUCUAUUUGUUGCAUUUUUACUUUCAAAGGCGUUAUGGGUACAGAUGGACAUUACGGGACAGUUCCAGCAUGGCGCUGUAAGUAUAAAACUGAGUUUUUUUUGUCUCACUUAGUAGAGUGCAAAAUUGGGAUUGAACGUGGAAUACAACAGCUGGUGAUCCUAAUUUGAUAGAGACUUCACUCGGGGCUGGCCUUUUUGGUUACAGUCUCUCAUCAAAUUGUAAUUUUCUUGAUUGAAGCAGUUUCUAAUUUUAGUUUCUGUUGUUUGUUUUUACCAGCUGUCAGGAAUACUGUCUAUCUCAUCAAGGUUUCUUCCAACCGUCAUGAAUCUUCUAAGAAAACUCGCAGAAGAAGCUCAGGGGAAUCAAACACCGGAAGCACAAAGGCGGCCAGUUUCUCUUUCUUCUCAGAGUUAUAGAAAUGAAACACCUCAGCCAAAUCCAGUAACAAGCUCAUUCCCGGAGUCCUCAGUGUCAUCCAAUAUCUCGUCAUCAGAUACCGGCAUGGAAUACUCAAGCCCUCCUUUAAGACAAAGGCGAACGGCAAACGUUGAGGAAGUUGAAUCUUCAUGAUGUAUGAUCUCCGUUGUUUGUACCAUGUGCAGCAGAUUAAGGUCAUUACUCAUUUGUGCGAUAGUUUUCAUUCUUUUUUAUUUUGUUUCUUGUUUGUAGUUACUGAAAAUUUGAAUAAAAAUAAACGUGGUUUGCUCAGUGCCUGGUUUUACAAAUUAUAGGUUAGUUGUUAUGUUUCGAGGAAUUAGAUUGUAAAAUCUGCGCAUUCUAACAUUGCCUCUCUUUCUUGACUACUUUUUCUUCAUAUUAGUAUUGUCAGUAAAACAAAUGAAAAAAAUUUGUGUAGAGCUGAGCUUGCCACUGAACUUUACAGAGUGGUGCUACAAUGCACUUGUUAUCAUUCUUCUAUUUUAAAUAUAAUACUAUUUUUUCAUUCUUUAAUUUUUCAUAAUUAUCUUUUCUACUAAUUAAGGGUAAAUUAAUUAGGAUCAUCUACUACUGAUUCAUAUACACAAUGGCAAUCAUAUCAGACCGGUAAAACGAGCCCCUGAAAAUAUAAAUUUAAUUAGAGCUAUGCAUAGUCUUGAAAAUCAUGUAGUAUAUUACACAGGAAAAUUAGAUGCAGAUGGGGAUCAAUAUGAUUUUAACUAUGUUUUUGAAAUUGAAUUUUUUUUUCUUUUCAUUCCAUGAUAGUUGGAGAAGAUUGGCUUUUUUUUUUAUUCUUCUCGUGUCCUUAUGAAAGUAAAGAAACUGUGAAGAAGACUGCAACGGCAGAGAAACUGGGUUUGCUCAGCGCCUGGUUUUACAAAUUAUAGGUUAGUUAUGUUUCGAGGAAUUAGAUUGUAAAAUCUGCGCAUUUUAUAACAUAUGAAUUUAAUAUCGUAUUGUCUUUUAGCUUCUAUAUUUGUAUCUGUGGCAAAAAAAUGGUUACAUCCAUGAGAAAAUUUUAUAGAUCGAUGAAUAUUUUCAAUCUAGAUAUUUAUUAGAUACCAGAAAUUAUAAGUCUAUUCGUGAAAGUCUAAGUCAAUGCCACGUACAAUAUUUGUUAAAACAUAUUUAGGAAACUGUUAUUAGCAGUCCAAAAAUCUCUAUCUACACUCCGCACAAGUGUAUUUUUCUUUCUAAUUAUAGAAAGUUUGGAGUGCCAAAUGAGAUUUUUGGAGUGCUAAUAACAAUUUUCUAUAUUUAUAUACAUUUUAUUUUAGUUUGGAAGUUGACUUCUUUUCUUUCUUUAUCAAGUUGGGAGUAUCACUGAGUGUGACCAUGUGCAACUAGUUGUUGAUUAUUUUUGAAUAUCAACAUUUUUUCUUACAAUGUCUUAGACAUAUGAAUAACAGAAAGAAAACGGUCAUGAUACAAGCUAAAUAGUAGUAAUACUAAUUAGUAAACAACUUGUGCAUGAUGUUUGCUUAUAACCAAGUGGAUGCAACUUGGAAUAGUAUUAGUAAAUGCAUGAUGUUUGCUUAUAACCAAGUGGAUGCAACUUGGAAUAGUAUUAGUAAAUGCAUGAUGUUUGCUUAUAAGUUAUAACCAAGUGGCAUGAAGGGACAAAUGUGUAGGUUAUAUGACUUGGAAUAGUAUUAGUAAAUGCAUGAUGUUUGCUUAUAACCAAGUGGCAUGAAUGGACAAAUGUGUAUGUUUCAUGCAUGACUUGGAAUAAUAUUAGUCGUUGGGAGAUUUUGCAUGAAUUUGUUUUUGUUUUUUAUAUGUAUAUAUUAAGUUCUAUUUUAAUGGGAUUGCUCACCACUCCUAAGUUGUGAUAAUGCCUUUAUUUAUCGUUGUUAUGUGAGUUUAAUUAAAUUUUGAGAUUGUGUUUAUCCACUACAUACAUUUCGAUUUUUUUUUUAAGUCGAGCUAUAGCAGUAGUAAGUUAGAUGUUAGAUUAGUCACUGACAGAAUUCAAAUCCAGACUGUCAUGCAAGAGCACAACACUUUUUCACCAUUGUGGUAAAGGGCCACUUGACAACAAGUUGAUUGGCAUCUGUGACUUUACUAAUACUAUUCCAAGUCAUGCAUGAAACAUACACAUUUGUCCCUUCAUACCACUUGAUUAUAAGCAAACAUCAUGCACAAGUUGUUUACUAAUUAGUACUACUCUUAUUCAACUUGUAUCAUGACCGUUUUCCUUCUGUUAUUCAUACGCCCAAGACAUUGUAAGAAAUAAUGUUGAUUAUUCAAAACGAAUCAACAGCUAGUUGCACAGGGUCACAGUCAGUGCCAACUUGAUAAAGAAAGAAAAAAAGAAGAAGUCGACUUCCAAACUAAAAUAAAAUGUAUAUAAAUAUAGAAAAUUGUUAUUAGCACUCCAAACUUUCUAUAAUUAGAAAGAAAAAUACACUUGUGUAAAGUGUAGAAUGAGAUUUUUGGGGUGCUAAUAACAGUUUCCCAAAUAUUUCUUAACAAAUAUUGUACAUGGCAUUGACUUAGACUUUCGCGAAUAGACUUAUAAUUUCUGGUAUCUAAUAAAUAUGCAUCGAUCUACAAAAUUUUCUUAUGGAUGUGCCCAUUUUUUUGCCACAGAUACCAAUAUAGAGGCUAAAAGACACUACGAUAUUAAAUUCAUAUGUGGUCGAGAUAUUUAUGAAUUUAAUCAUUAAAAUGUAUAAGCUCAAUUAUACAUUCAAGUUCGAUCAAUUCCCGAAGUUUUGGUCAACAAUAAAAAUUGUUUACCUAUAGUUCACCUAUAAAACGUGCAAAGGCAAUAUAUUUUUUUACCACAAUUCUAUGUAUUGUGAAUUUUUGUUCGUAACUUUUGUGGCAUAUAAAGACUAAAAGAUACUACGAUAUUAAAUCCAUAUGUGGUUGAAAUAUUUAUCAGUUUAAUCAUUAAAAUGCAUAAACUCAAUUACACAUCCAGGUUAGAUCAAUUCCCGAAGUUUUGCUCCACAAUAAAAACUGCUUAGCUAUGAGUUCACCUUUAAAACGUGCAAAGGCGAUAUACUUUUUAACCACAGUUCAAUGUAAUGUGAAUUGUUGUUUGCAACUUUUGUAUCUAAUAAAUAUCCACGGUUAAAAAUAUUCAUUGAUCUACCAGAACUUAUCAUGGACGUACCUUUUAUUUUUAUUUUUAUCACAGAUAGGAAUAUAGAGUUUAGAAGAUUCUCAUUUAAUUGAAACAUACCAAACUCAUUAAACACUCUAACCAGAAGCUCAUGUAAUUGAAAAGAAAAAGGAAUCAAUACGUAAAAAUCGAACCAAUCGAUUGAACACAUACCAAUUAUUAAGCUAAUUAGUGCUCUAGAAAUUUAGAGAUGUCAAAUGAUGAAGAAAAGGAAGAGGAAGAGAUUUGGAUGACUACGGAGUAGUAGAUGGGGGUGCAGAAUGACAACUAUGGGAGAUGGAAGGAUUUUUCAAAGAGAGAGAGAAUGGGCUUUGCUCCAUGGAGAUGAUGGACUGGUUAGGGUUUUGAUUUUUUUUAUUUUUAAGUAGAUUGAGUUGGGUGUAAAAAGAUUUUGAUUGAGUUGAGUUUUGAUAAAUAAGGGCGCUUUUGGAAAUAACGUUGGGCGUAAAGAGAUAAUGAUAGAUAAAUUAAAUACAAUGUGGGUAUAAAAAGUAAGUUGGAUGUUGAGAUACAAAGUAUGGGUUCAAAUAAAAUUUCCCUUUAAAUAACACCUCUAUUAUUUUAAGUCAAAUUGAAAAAUAUUAUAUAGGGUAUUUAGUAUUCUAGUGAGUACAAAGUAUUAUCCUAGAAUUUUUGCCAACUGAGAAAAUGGCGGACUUUUAUGGGAUAAAUUACCAAGUUUGACCUCAUUCUUGGUGAGUAUUUGUUGCUUUGCCAUUUGUUGCAGGGUCUAUGGAAGUAGUAUGCUAGAGACUUUUUCAUGUACCGGAACACAUUUCGAUACAUCAAGUAUAAUAAUACAAUUGAUUGAAAACUUAAAAAAAAAAUUCAACCAAUUAUAUUAUGACACUUGGUAUACUAAACUGUAUUUUCAGCUACAUUAUCCCUUCCCCUGCACUGCACACCAUUGUACACCUCACGGGUCCAUAUGUCAAUGGAUGCAUGGUGUAAAUAAUGUCUUGCUCGUUGGUUAGCUCUUUACAAGUUUACGAACAUCACCAUCUUCCAAUCUCAAACCCGAGAACAAUGAUGCUCACAGUUUGAUGAAACAUAGAUUAUGAGUUUGGAUAUUGGCUUUGCAAUUUUUUCCAUUAAUCUAGUUAUUCGUUCAGUCUACAAUUCGGUUGGAGUUGCCAAAGAUUCUUUGCACAAUUUUUUAAUUUAAUUGGAUCCCUCAGUAAAAAGAGGGCUUCAAACUUAAAAAGUUUUGAGAGUUUUUGAACAUUGAAGAUAAUAAAGUCCAUGGUUUUGUACUGGUUGUUUGUUUAUUCUUUUUGAACGAAUGAAAAUGGUUGGCUUUGAGAUCUAAGGUUUUAGGUCUAAAAGUUAAAAACACCAGGAAAUGUGUCAGAUUCAGCUUUAAAAUUCGAAGAUUUUGGACCUUCAAGCUUUUCUUAGGGAAUAAAAUAAAUAUCGGAAUCCUUCUUUUCCUAUUUAAACGCUAAUUGUUUUAUUAUGAUUUUGUAUGUUUUAUUCGACGCCUGCUAUUCUUAAAUUAAGAUAAUGUUUUUUUUUGUUAGGAAGUGAAAAUGAAUUUUAGAGAUAGAAAAACAAAAUCAGUAACAUAUAAACCUAAAAUUGCAAAUUAAUCCAAAAAUAACAAAUAAUUAGAUAAAAAGUUACAGCCAUAUACAUACAUAUAUAUAUAUAUAUAUAUAUAUAUAUAAUUUUUGAAAAAAAUGAAAAAUUAUAUGUAAUACGAAUUUGUCUGUCAGAACAUUGUAAUUGAUACUAUUAGUCAAGACUCAAAAGUUGGAUCUUAAUUCGUUGACUGGUAUGCAACUAUGAAUUUUUCUAGAUGCAAACAAAUAUAUAGACCGAGAGAAAGCAAAGUCGUUUACAUACAUACAAAAUAUUAAAGUCCCAAUUAAGACGUUAUGCUAGCAAAUAUAUAGAUUGGGAGAAAGUAAGUUGUUUACAUACAUACAAAAUUAUCUCAGUCAUCCCGAUUAAGACGUUACUAGCAAAUAUAUAGACCGAGAGAAAGCAAGUCAAAAUUACCUCAGUCGUCCUAAUUAAGACGUUACUAGCAAAUAUAUAGACUAAGAGAAAGCAAGUUGUCUACAUACAUUGUAAGAUCUCACAUCGUCCAGGGCAGUGAAUCCUGUAAACCUUAUAUGUAUAUUCUCAUCAUUUAACUGUCAGAUUAACAGAAAAUUUAACAGUGGUCUGACAUUGUAACGACUUAAUAAAUUGAGUUAUGACAUUGCAAUAUUUAAAAUAUGAGAUAUGAGAUUGUGAUUCGACUCAUAAUUGAGCUAAUUUUUUGUAAUUUACCCUAUAUUAUAUAUGUAUACGUUGUCAAUAUAUGACUAAAAUCUAAUGGUCUUCUUCUUCUUACAUGCAAUGCAUGAUUCAGCCAGUGGAAUAUAAGUGUUGGUCGUUUAAGUUCACGCCGUCGAGGAGAGGAAGUUCUGCACAUGUACAAUAUGAAGAUGAAGUUGAUGGUGAGGAUACUAUUACUAUGCUUCCUCAGCUGCUUCUGGUUUCAGCUGUCCUUUACUCAAAAUGUUACCACUGAUCCAUCUGAAGGUUCUCUCUCUCUCUUCCCCCCACCACACACAACACACUUUGCCACUUUUAAGUGUUUUUGACCAGGAACUGGGCUUUUUUUCCCUCAACAAAAUGACAUUUUAAGUGUUUUUUGACUAUAUGAAAUGAAGUUUCGAAGAACUUAUUUGUAAAGCCCUUUUUCUUCUCAUAUACAAAACAUCCAAAAAUUAGGGGUAAUUUUCCUUUGUAAUAAUCAAUUUGAUCGUUCGUUUGGUUCGAGAUAGUCUGGUAAGUGGUAACACAAGUCAAAUUAUGGUGUGAUAUAAUCUAAUACACACAAGGACUGAAUUAACUGAGAGUGCAGUGAGGGCGUUGAACUCAAUAUUUGAACAAUGGGACACACAAGCAGUGCCGGGGCAGUGGAAUAUCAGUGGAGAACCCUGCAGUGGAUCUGCCAUCAACGGCACCGACAUAUAUAGCCCCAAUUUCAACCCAGCCAUCGUUUGCAACUGUACUUACGACAACGGUACUGCAUGCCACAUCACCAAACUGUAUGUUAAACUACUCUCUCUUGAUGAACAAGAUUUCCAUGCAACUGCUGAUUUUUCACUUGCUACCUAUAUAUGUUAACGUCAUAAUUUGACCGUGUCACUCCAUUUUAUGUAGUUCUAAAUGUUCAAUCUUUUUGCUUUCCAGGAGAGUGUAUGCUCUUGACAAACGAGGGGUGUUUCCCGAAGAAUUUGUGGCUCUGAGAUAUCUCACAUUUUUGUAUGAAUUUUUUCCAACUCCCUUCUCUAUUUUUGGUUCAUCAAAAUCAUAUUGGAUAUUAAAAAUUGUAGAAUUAUCAAAGAGACGGGCCAAAGGCUCACUUCCAACAACAUCGAUACUGUCUCCAACUUAGUAAUUACCACCUGCACAAUCCGUCAGGUGUGAGGUUUAUCUCAAAAGGCCUCGGCAUUAGUUGGAGUGGGAUUUGGAUAUUUAAACUCUUCCUUCUUUAGUUCUCUAGCCGAUGUGGGAUUUCAACAAAAAUAUGGUUAUGUUGUAAGAUUAAGAGUUAACGAUUACACUUCCUUUCAAUUUUUGUAGUGAAAUCGAUGAGAAUUAUUUCACUGGUCCCCUACCGGCAUUCAUUGGCAAUAUGUCUGCAUUGACUGGAUUGUAAGUAGUGAGAGAACAUUUCUUUAAGUACUCAUACUUCUGAUGAGACCCGUAGCAAUUUGUAUACUUCAUUAUGAAUAUCAUAAUCUACAAUUAUGUUCUUUACACAUUUUCGCUACUAUUUAUGCCAUAAUCUACAAAAAAAUCAUUAUGCUUUUAUUGAAUAAUGCAGUACUAGUUUCCUAUUAUGUAAUGUAAUUAAGUUUAAUGGUGCUUAUCUUUCACUAAAUGAUAUCUUCAUUCAGGUCAAUUGGCGGCAAUUCAUUCUCUGGGCCCAUCCCCAAGGAGCUUGGAAACCUUAAGGAGCUAACAUAUUUGUAAGCCAUGAAAUUUUUUCUAAAGGUUUCUCUCUCUCUCUGCAAAUCUAGCAGAGCAUAUUCUCUUCAUCUCUACAAUUCACACACACUAUGUGCUUUACAUAACCGUUAGAAUCCAAGGUGGAUUCUCUCUCUUCACAAAACAAUCUCAGCCUUACAUCUAGCUAAUUGCUAGGAUCAUUACACCUGGCUUUAUUUGCCUUACUACAUUAGAGCUGCACACUUGGUAUUUUAAACUCAAGUGAAUACACAAAUUUGAUACAUAACUUAUUUCCUAAUCAGCUAUAGACCUACAAUUCAACACAACCUUCUAUCACUCUUCAAUAAUUGCUUUCAAGUAAGUGUUUGCCCGUUCAACAUGACUUGCAGGGACAUCGGAUCAAAUAAUUUCUCCGGAACACUCCCUCCAGAACUUGGUAAUUUAGUCAAGCUCAAGAACCUGUAAGUGCUUCGUUAAAUCAUCAAAUUUGAAUUACAUGUUAAUUCCUUACGGAUGAGCAAAAAUUGCACUUUAUUGUAUGAAAUGGGUAUUAAUCAGUUGCCUUAUGAUUUUCACAGUUACAUGGACAGCUGUGGACUCGGUGGUGAAAUUCCUUCAACAUUUGCCAACCUCACCAACAUGCAAAUCCCGUAAGAACGGCUCUUAAAUCGUAUUUUAGAUUUGUUCGUUUAUCCAGUACUUUGAGAUUGCUUUUCUUGAAUGAGCUUUAGUAUAAGUCCACUUUUUGAAUUUUAGCUGGGCAUCGGACAGUCCUUUCUCAGGAAAGAUACCUGAUUUCAUAGGGAAUUGGACACAACUCACUGAUUUGUAAGUAGAGAAACCUUUGAUCUUUUGCAGUUUAUGAAAGCAGACCUGAGAUGGAUAAUUUGUUCACAAGCUUCUUAUAUGUUUCUGUAGGCAAUUUCAAGGGAACUCUUUCGAAGGCCCAAUACCAACCAGCUUUUCUCAACUGACCUCAUUGAAAUCUCUGUAAGUACAAAUGUUUCAUAUUUUGUAAUUCUCUCUCUCUUUCUCCGAAGACGGGAUUUCAGUUUAUUUUGCAUAUAAUGAUGUAGGCGAAUCGGUGAUAUAUACAAUGGGAGCUCUUCUCUUGAUUUCAUAAAAAAUCUGAAAAACUUGACUGAUUUGUAAGUGAAGAUUCUCAUCGAUCCAGAUACUUUCAUAUAACUUCUUUUUCCUUUUGAAAUUUGAUAUCUUACUGCAUCUACUUUUUUAUCAAAUUUUAUGUUUUUGGAAUACAGAAAACUGCGAAACACAUUAAUCACUGGUACCAUCCCAUCUGAUAUUGGAGAAUAUCAAAGUCUACAGAUACUGUACGUACCAGCAAAUAUAAGCUUGAGUCCCAACGAGACCAAUUAGUUUUCUUUCAUUUUGAUUGCUCCGCUCAACUUAUCGUUGGUGUUGCAGGGAUCUCAGUUUCAACAAUUUGACAGGCCAACUCCCAAGUUAUUUGUUCAUCUUGAGUUCUCUUACAUCCUUGUAAUCCCCGUCUUUAUUAUAUCUUUUUCUUGCCUUAUCAUACAUAAGUUAUCAAAUCUUUAACAUUCCCUACUUUGAUUGAAGAUCCAGUCCUUCUAGAUUUUGUGCACAUCUGACCUUUUUCUUGCUCAUCUCUUUUUCUUUUCUGGGUGCCUUCUACUAUAAUCGAAAUGGCCAGGUUUCUUGGAAACAAUAGUCUCUCCGGACCUCUUCCGAGCCAAAAGAGCUAUGAACUUCAGACUAUGUAAGUUCUCGUUUCUUAAAGAGUUAAUUGUAGCUAUGGUCCCUUAACUUUAAGUCAAUUGUAGUUUUGAUCCCUCAACUAAAAUUCCAUUAGAUAUAGUCCUUGAACUUAAUAAAAUGUGGAGCAUAAGUCCUUUUUUUCUAAAACCGUCAAAUUCUCCGUUUGAGGUGCUUACAUGGAUGGCAGAUGCAGAAAUAUUUGAAAACCCUAAAAACAUAGUUCUCUGUACAACAGCAAGACUGUCACAAUUACCACCAAUUGACUCCAUCCCUCUCAAUUCUGCUUUGCCAAGCUCCUCCCAAACCCUCUGAAAAUAAACCCCAUUAGUUUGCCCCGCCGCAAAUGGUUCUCAAAACCCAAAACAAACCCAAAUUGGCCGUGAACGGAGUAGCACUACCCGUAAUCCCGAGGUCCCCAUCUACCCGAAUAAUGAAGAUUGAAGGUGGUUUAGUGGAGCUACGAGAGAUAUGGAGAUCCUGGAAUGGGGAGGAUGAAAGAUGGGAGGGGGAAAUCAUGUUUUAUUUUUAUUUUUUGUUUCUUUUGUAGAAUAUUUAUAAUAAAAAUCUAAGUUAUAUACCUAAUUUUUUAUCCCAUUCGGCACCCAUUUAACAUAAUGUGAGUCCCAUUGUACUGCCACACAAGCACAUUAACAGUAAACAUAACGGAAGGAUCAUUGCUCCAUAAUUUGACAAGUUGAAGGAUUAUAUCUAAUGAAUUUUUAGUUGAGGGACCAAAGCUACAAUUGACUUAAAGUUAAGGGACUAUAGCUACAAUUUUCUCUUUCUUAAAGUAGUCAUAUAGAAUGCACGGUGCAUGUAUGUGUUUGUGUAUAAUUGUAAGCAUUCUAAUCCUAUCUUACACAAGUUCUUAAUAACUUUCAUGCAUUUUGUGUCUUCUGAUUCUAUUUUGUUAUUUGCAGAGAUUUGUCUUACAAUUUUUUAUCAGGAAGCUUUCCCCAGUGGGUGACCACAACAUCGCAACUGUACGUGUUCUUUUAUCUUUCACCUUCAUUUUACAGUUUAAAUCACCAGAAUAUGUUCAGACAAAAAAUUAUCGCUGAGAUUCGUUUUCACAGUGCUACUUGCCUGCCUACUAAGUUUUGAUCUUGUACAUGGAAUUUUCAUUUGAUAAAGAUAUAUUUCUUCAUAUGUUGAUUGAUUAAUGAUUUUAUGCAGGAACUUAGUGGUCAACAACUUCACAUUUGACAAAAAAAACAUAACGUGAGUUGAAGUUUCUCUUACUCGUUUUUAGACGAGCAAUACUAUCACUACUCUUCCACUACAUGUUUCUAUUUGGAUAACUAAUAAUUGUUCCCUGUGUUUGCAGUCUUCCUGGAUUGAAUUGCCUCCAGAGAAAUUUUCCAUGCAAUCGAAAUGCCCCACGAUGUAAUCUGCUCUUAUGUCACCCAUCAUUUACUAUUUUAACGCAAUGUCAUGUUAGAGGAAAAGGCAUUGCUUCUCUAGUUAUGUAUACAUAUGGAUAUAGAUUGCAAGCAUGUUUUCAUAAGUUCAGUAAUACGCAUAACAGGUUAGAAAUAUGUGACAGAUGAACAUUAGCAUGAGUCUUCAAUUUGACGUUUCAUCGCUAAUCAUGGCUAGCUUCUGGUAUUACAUGAAACUUUACAGAUGCAAACUUCUCAAUCAACUGUGGUGGACCGCAAAUGACGGGAAGUGAUGGCAUAUUGUAUGAGGCUGAAGACUCAACUCUUGGCCCAGCAACAUUCAGUGUAACCAGUACAGAGAAAUGGGUUGUCAGCAAUGCCGGUUUGUUUUAUGAAAGAAAAAACCAAUCGUUUCUGCAAAAUACCCUUGCACAAGUCACUGGAACAAAUGUGACCCCGGAGCUUUUCCAGACUUCAAGAGUGUCCCCAGGAUCACUAAGAUACUAUGGCCUGGGCCUUGAGAAUGGGCCUUACACUGUAACAUUGCACUUUGCAGAGACGGUUUAUGAAAGUCGCACUUCGCAAAAAUGGGAAAGUCUAGGACGACGUGUAUUUGAUAUCUAUAUUCAAGUAAGGCUGCUUAUAGAAUAAAAAUUCUGACUUAUUUUAAGUAAACACUCAUUGGACAGGUUUUCGAUGUUUUAAGCUACAUUAACUAAAGACAGUGAUUUAAAGGAGACUAGAAUUAUCACCUAUCUCUUCAUUUGGUUGCUAGGGUACCCGCAGGACGAAGGACUUUGACAUAUCCAAGGAGGCAGGUGGGGCUAAACUAGGAAUUAUGAAAAGAUUCAAUGUUAGCGUGUCAGAGAAUUAUCUUGAAAUUCAUCUGUUCUGGGCUGGUAAAGGGACUUAUUGGAUACCCGAGAAGGGUUAUUACGGCCCACUAAUAGCAGCCGUCCAUGCUGCUUCAGGUAUAAUUUGUGUUAACCAGUUGGAUUUCCUGUGAAUGGUUUAAAUGUAUUUUUCUGCUGUUAAUUGACACUGAAAAAUUCUUCUGUUUUAUCGCUCAGAUUUUACACCAACAGUUUCCGGGCUUCCACCAACUACUCCAGGAAAGAAGAGCAGGACUGGGUUGAUAGUUGGUAUUGCAAUUCCUGUUGGAGCUGUGAGCUUGCUAUUAAUAUUUGCGAUUCUAUAUAUGAGGAAAAAAUCAGAAAAAGAGGAUGACGAAGGUAAACAACCAUUUUAUUAGUGGUAUCCAAUUCAGGUUUCUCUGCUCUGACAUUAACACACACAAGUAAAAAUGUUUUCACGAAAGUAAAACUUAUGUCACACUGUUUUGUGAAUGUGCAGAUAUUCUAGGAUUAGGCCCUCAACCAAAUACUUUCAGUUAUGUUGAGUUGAGAGCUGCAACCGAAGAUUUUAAUCCUUCAAAUAAGUUAGGAGAGGGAGGAUAUGGCCCUGUUUAUAAGGUGAAAUCCGUAUUACAUCAGUAUCAUGUACUUGAAGUAAUGACAAGAGAAAGGGAGAGAGAGCGAGAGAGCGAGAGAAGAAAAUAAAGCUUAUUUUUUCUUUCCUUUCAUGUCACUAAAUUGUGUUUCUGUGUACAUUGUAGGGUACACUUUUUGAUGGGAGAGUAGUGGCUGUUAAGCAACUUUCAGUAGCAUCUCACCAAGGGAACAGUCAAUUUGUAUCUGAAAUUGCUACCAUAUCUGCUGUGCAACAUCGGAAUCUAGUGAAAUUGUAUGGAUGCUGCAUCGAAGGCAGCCACCGCAUUUUGGUUUAUGAGUAUCUUGAAAACAAGAGCCUUGAUCAGGCACUUUUUGGUACAAACCUAUCUACUUUUAGGUUGCAUAGAAACAACAUUGUCUGCAGUUUCAAGCACUCUAAAAUUGUCAAGAAAUGUUUUUGAUUGGAUGUGUUCACUAAUAUUUCAGGAACAAGUAACUUGCACCUUGACUGGCCUACUCGAUUCAAUAUAUUGUUGGGAACAACAAGAGGACUUGCUUACCUUCAUGAGGAGUCAAGGCCAAGGAUUGUACAUCGAGAUGUCAAAGCGAGUAAUAUUUUGCUCGAUGCAAAACUCUCCCCAAUAAUAUCAGAUUUUGGACUGGCAAAACUUUAUGAUGACGAGAAAACCCACAUCAGCACUCGGGUUGCAGGGACAAUGUAAGCCAUCCUUUAUUGUUUUUUCCAGAGGAUACAUACAUUAUGGCCACACACAUUUAUACUUGCAUGAAAUUUUAACACACAUGUUAAUAAUGCCUCUAAUGAUCUCAAGCAACAUUGUGCAACCAUUUGAUUAUCUUGCAUUGCAGAGGCUAUUUGGCACCGGAGUAUGCAAUGUUUGGACAUUUGACAGAGAAGGCCGAUGUGUUUGGUUUUGGAGUCGUCGUUUUAGAGAUCCUCAGCGGGAGACCAAACUCUUACAAUAACUUGGAUCCAGAAAAGAUUUAUCUUCUUGAAUGGGUAGGAAUUGCAUUCGCCUAGCUUCAUUUAGGCAUUGUUGUGAAAAACUUAUUUAUACUUUCCUUUGAUCGUGGCAUAAUGUUUUUCAGGUAUGGACUCUACAUGAAAACGACCAAACUUUGGGGCUGAUGGAUCCGAGAUUGACAGAGUUUGAUGAAACUGAAGCAACUAGAUUGAUAAGAGCAGCUCUCCUGUGCACGUAGGGAUCACCGAUGGCACGACCAUCUAUGUCACGUGUGGUUGCAAUGCUCUCUGGAGACAUUGACAUAAGCACUGUCAUGUCGAAGCCAAGCUAUUUGACAGAUUAUGAUUUUAAAGGUGUAACAACAUCGUUAACAAGUAGAUUUUUGGUGGAGGAUGAUACCCCAUCAACUUCAUCCAAGGGUAGUAAUGUUCGCCUCAACUAUCAAUCUGGAGGCAGCAAUGCAAGUGGUGCUAACACUCCCUAGAUUGACCCUAAACCUUCUGUAAACAUCACUUAAUCACUGCUCGCUAGCAUUAGAGGAGAAGGAAGGUGAUAAAUAUCGGGAAAUGAUUUUCGCAUACUCUUUUUACCCCUUUGUGCACCCUUGUACUUGUUUUGGACUCUUUCCUUUUAUAUAAUACACAUUUUAAUAAUUAAUUGUAAUUGUAAUUUAGCUUUGGCUUUUGGUAGUGGGCAGGGGACUGGCAUGCCAGAUUUGAAUAUACCUUAGCAGAUGGAUGUAUAUCCUACUUAUUCAUACACAAUGUUUAUAGAUAUGUUCAUGAACCACCACCACUGGAUGGAGAUCCCACCACUAAAAAUUAAGAAUGUGUUCAGGGAAUUCAGAUAAUUUAAUAAGGCCUUUUGGGGUCUAUAAAUUGAGCCUUGAUGUUGAUGGUCCAGUUGCAGAAUAAAGAAGAAAAUGCCUUUUUGGGUCUAUAAAAUGAGCCUUGAUUUUGAUUGGACGUGUUCACUAAUAUUUCAGAGACAAGUAACUUGCACCUUGGCUGGCCUACUUGAUUCAAUAUAUUGUUGGGAACAGCAAGAGGACUUGCUUACCUCCAUGAGGAGUCAAGGCCAAGGAUUGUACAUCAAGAUGUCAAAGCCAUUAAUAUUUUGCUCGAUGCAGAACUCCCCCCAAAAAUAUCAGAUUUUGGAUUGGCAAAGCUUUAUGAUGGCGAGAAAACCCACAUCAGCACCUGGGUUGCAAGGACAAUGUAAGCCAUCCUUUAUUAUUUUUCCACAGGAUACAUAUAUUAUAGCCACACAUUUAUACUUGCAUGAAAUUUUAACACAAAUCAUGUUAAUAAUGCCACUCAUGAUCUAAAGAAACAUUGUACAACAAUUUGAUUAUUGCAUUGUAGAGGCUAUUUGGCACCCGAGUAUGCAAUGCGUGGACAUUUGAUAGAGAAGGCUGAUGUGUUUGGUUUUGGAGCUGUUGCUUUGGAGAUCCCAAGCAGGAGACCAAACUCUGACAAUAACUUAGAUCCAUAAGAGAUUUAUCUUCUUGAAUAGGUAGGAAUUGCAUUCCCCUAGCUUUAUUUUGGCAUUGUUGUGAAAAACUUAUUCACCCUUUCCUUGGACCAUGGCAUAAUGUUUUUCAGACAUGGACUCUACAUGAAAAUGACCAAAUUCUGGGGUUGGUGGAUCCGAGAUUGACAGAGUUUGACGAAACUGAAGCGACUAGACAGAUAAGAGCAGCUCUCAUGUGCACGCAUGCAUCACCAAUGAUGAGGCCAUCUAUGUCACGCGUGGUGGCAAUGCUCUCUGGAGAUAUUGACAUAGGCACUAUCAUGACGAAGCCGAGCUAUUUGACAUAUUAUGAUUUUAAAGAUGUAACGACAUUGUCAACAGGUAGCUUUUUUAUGAAGGAUGAUACCCCAUCAAAUGCAUCCAAGCAUAGUAAUGACCGCCUCAACUAUGAGCCUGAAGGCAACAAUACAAGUGGUGCUAACACCCCCCGUGGUUGACCUUGCGCCUUAUCCAGUAAACGUCACGCAAUCACUGCUCGCUGGCAUUAUUAGAGAAGGAAGGUGAUAAAUAAUGGGAAAUGAUUUAUGCACGCCUUUUAUCCUUUUGUGCACCGAUGUACUUGCCCUUGAGUAAAACUUACAUGUCAAUUUUGUGUUAGUAUGUUCGGUGUAAAUCUCCACUUUUAAUCAAAAGGAAAAGAAUGGAUGUUUCUUUUUCUAUAGUUUGUGCUAUUCACACACCCAUUUUAAUUUCUCACACAUUUUUUUGGUAAUUUUUGUCUUUUGGUAUUUUUUAAUUCAUUCGAUCCGACGGUCGAAAAUUGAGAAGAAUGAGUGGAGGUAAAAUAGGUGUGAAUAGCACCACCCUUUUCUAUCUGAUACCCAAGUAGGUAUAAUAAAACAUAAGCAAUCUUAGUAGAUGCCUAUAAACAAAAGCCACGAGUUGGCUCUAGAUGAGUUAUUGUCAAUUGUUGAUUCUUUACGGUGUCAUCCUAAUGUGACUCUUUGGUAGGGUUUUUGCAUACGCCAACUUUUUUACAUGAAUGAUUAUGAAUUGUUGGUCGAACAGUGUCACCUGAAGAAAAUCUUUGGUUAAAUUGCUAUGCAAGUGUCGCCUUUCUCACAUGAGUGGUCUCAACGGUGGGGCCCGAGUAAAACCAAAAUGUAGGGAAGUUCAUGCUCACCAAAGCAAAUCUCAGUUGAAAAAUAACCUCGGAACAAUAAAAAAUUCCAAAGCAAGAUCAACCUGUUUAAGGCUAUGGUGCUCAUCUAGUUGUCUUUGUGCCUUUUUUCUUUACAUUUGGAAGUGCCAGUGCCAGAUCACUUGAGGCAGCAAGUCCAGGCCCCAUAUUUUAUUCGUCUCUAUUGCCUACACUGAAAGUGACCAUUAGAAUUCGUCUCUAUUCGUCACUCACUUUGCUCUUCUCUGCAAAAGUAUUAAUUACAUGUACACACACACUUAUUAGCAGCAUAUAUACACCUAUAUAUAUAAUCUCUCUUAGUAUCAUCAGAACUCAAAGAAAGAAGGAGAGCUUUGGAGAAGUGAAAGUAGUAGCAGAAACUAGAAGAAGAAAGGGAGACAUUUUAGUCUCCCCCCAGAAGCUGAGGUUGUUGCCCGUCAAGAAGUGUUUGUACGUGGUCAAGGCAAGCACCUUUUUGACCAUCUUAUCUGGCUUCAAAUUCGCAUUCACUACCUCUUCUAGAAUCACAUCGAACACCUUCUUGAAAUCAGCCCUCCAGUCCUGGCUUUUGAUCAAAGUCUGCAUAAUAUUCGGCCCUCGAAUUAAGAUCCUCGCCUUGUAUCGAAUGCAGUUAAGGGUUUUUGCUUUAAGUGACCUCAUUUCCCUUCCAUCGCUCGUCACUCAAUUACAACAACAACAACAACAAAGCCUUUUCCCAUUAAGUGGGGUCGGCUAUAUGAAUCCUAGAAUGCCAUUGCGCUUGGUUUUGUGUCAUGUCCUCCGUUAGAUCCAAGUACUCUAAGUCUUUUCUUAGGGUCUCUUCCAAAAUUUUCCUAGGCCUUCCUCUACCCCUUCGGCCCUGAACCUCUACCCCUAGGCCUUCUUUGCACAUGUCCAAACCACCGUAAUCGAUUUUCUCUCAUCUUUCCUUCAAUUUCGGCUACUCCUACUUUACCUCGGAUAUCCUCAUUCCCAAUCUUAUCCUUUCUCGUGUGCCCACACAUCCCACGAAGCAUCCUCAUCUCCGCUACACCCAUUUUGUGUACGUGUUGAUGCUUCACCGCCCAACAUUCUGUGCCAUACAACAUCGUUGGCCUUAUUGCCGUCCUAUAAAAUUUUCCCUUGAGCUUCAGUGGCCUACGACGGUCACACAACACGCCGGAUGCACUCUUACACUUCAUCCAUCCAGCUUGUAUUCUAUGGUUGAGAUCUCCAUCUAAUCCGUUCUCUUGCAAGAUAGAUCCUAAGUAGCGAAAACGAUCACUUUUUGUGAUCUUCGCUAGAUUGCUCCGGUCAUUAGUGUGGAUAAGUAUAUAAAUGGAUAGAGAUAGGAAAGCAAACACAAGAUGUACGUGGUUCACCCAGAUUGGCUACGUCCACGAAAUAGAGGAGUUCUCAUUAAUUGUGAAGGGUUUACACAAGUACAUAGGUUCAAACUCUCCUUUAGUGAGUACAAGUGAAUUAUUUAGUACAAAUGACAUUAUGAAAUAUUGUGGGAGAAUGAUCUCGUAGUCACGAAACUUCUAAGUACCAGAGUGUGGUAUAGUCUUGACUUGCCUUAUCUGUCUCAUAGGUAGAUGUGGCAUCUCCUCUGGAAGUACUCUUCCUCCAUCCAGGGGUGGUAUCUUUAACUGGUGGAGAUGCACAAGGUAAUGUAUCAAUUUCACUUGAAGCUUACUUGUAGUUUCAGGCUUGGUCAAGCGCGAUACAAACCAUGUAGUAGGAGUCCCCCAAGUCGCCGAGCUAGGGGAUCUGCUGAAAGAGGUGACAGACAAGUUAAGCAAUUAGAGCUCCAAGCAAUCAGUCCUAGAUCAGAACUUUGAUUUCGAGUUCCGGCUGAUUGUUCACAUUCUCCCUAUCUUGCAGGCAGCAUGAAGGAUAAAGAAAAGAAAAAUGAGAAUAUAUGAUAUGGGAUACUUUUGCUUUUGAAGAAGUAAUUUUCCACAGGCUUAUUCUUGAACUGGGCUGAAGGGUUUUCUGGUUUCCUCCAGAGUAUAAGGCCGACUGAAGAAUUUGAGGGUCAAAACAAGUCCAUCAAAUCUAGAGUACGUUCGACCCUGCUGAUAUGGGAUACUUUUGCUUUUGACAGAGUAGUGGAUGUAUCGGCACGUGUGCUGUUACGCUUGUCUCCACAUGCUUCCUUGUAUCCUUCUCACUUGCCCUAUCUGUUCCUCAGGCAGAUGCAGUAUCUUCCCUGGAAGCAUAAGAUGUUAAAGAUGAGUACUCGAGAGCAAUGCCAGGUAAGUUAUCAGGUAAGGGGUUUCAGGCAGUCAGUUCCUGACUGGAAGCUUGAUUCCAAGUGCUGACUGAUUGCUCUAUUUCUCCUUGUCUUGCAGGUAAGAACAAGGCCAAAGGAAAAGACAGGGAAAAAGCAUGAUAUGGGAUACUCUUACUUUUAACCCUGAUGAUAUGAGAUAUUCUUGCUCUAGUAUAGCUUGUUUGUAGAGGUAUUAUCGGGGGAAAAGAAAGCUGAAUAUUUCGAAAGGCUUCGUUGGGAGUGCCCUCUCAGAUAUGAGGAAAGGUUGAGCAUUUUUGCAGGUCUGCCUGUCCGUUAGGGAUGGAAGUCGACAUAUAUAAGAGUCUCCCUAACAAGUAGUAAUGCUAUUCUUUUACCCUGCUUGGUCAUAACACGGUAGUGGGAGCUGCCAGCUUCACAUGUUUUAACUCUGUCAGAGCACUUUGAAAAAGUGAUCUGUGGUAUCUGGAAAACUGAUGUUGCGUGUGAAGAUUACAGACAAGCUUUAUCCAAGGAGAUCCGGCUUUUGAAGUUGGGAAAGUGGUGCCUCUUCGGUUUUCGAACAAGUAAUCCUGUCGAGAAUCUGGCUCUCGAGAUUCGAAGAACGAUGCCUCUUCAAUUUUUGAGAAAGCAAUCAUGCUGGAGGUCUGGCUCUCGAGAUUCGGAGAGCGGUGUCUCUUCGAUUUUUGAGAAAGUAAUCAUGUUGGGAGUCUGGCUCUUGAGAUUCGGAGGGCGGUGCCUCUUCGAUUUUGGAGCGAGCAAUCUUGUUGGGAGUUUUCUCGAAUAUGAGUAAAGGUUGGGCAUGUUUGCUAGUCUACCUUGCCACGAAGCACAGAGAUUGACACACAGGGACUUUCCAAUUAUCCAGCAGUGGUAUUGUUCCUUUACCCUUAUGGGUAAUAAUAUGGUAGCUAGACCUUCAAAAUUUAUGUGUCUAAACUUUGUUAGUGCUGUUUCUUUGCUAUUCUUUUACCCUUCUUGGUCAGAGCGAUGUAGUGGGAGCUGCAAGCUUCACGUGUCUCAACUUUGUCAGAGAACUUUGGCAAAGUUAUCUGUGGUACCCAUGAGCUAAUGUUGCGUGUGGGAAGUGGGUGAUUGAACAGUAAGAUUCAUGUGCUUUCUACUUCACCAGAAAUCUUCGACAGAAUGCCCAUAAUUUCCGCAAAGCUGAGUGUGUGCGUGACAGGUGCUGACAAGGCUGGAAAAGUAGGUGCCUCUUCGAUUUCUGAAAUCGGCCCUCGUAGUCUCUGAGCAGCCCAGCUUUUAAGAAAGCAAGCGCCUUUUCGAUUUCUGAGAUCGGCCUUCGUGGUCUUUGAGCAGCCUAGCUUUUGAGAAAGCAAACGCCUCUUCGAUUUCUAAGAUCGACCCUCGUGGUCUCUGAGCAGCCCAACUUUUGAGAAAGCAAACGCCUCUUCGAUUUCUGAGCAGGCGCCUCUUCGAUUUCUGAAGCUCCGUCGAGUGCAGAUUUUUAUAGAGGCUGACAUUAAGUUCCAAAGCACACUUAAAUCUCCACCAGUAGAAGCUCCAUUCUUGCGCUUCUAAGAUCUUGAUUUGUCUGACCUCUUCUCUAUUCAACACCUUUGAAAAUGUCUGGCCCCUCCGACCGUCGUUUUGACUUGAACCUUGUUGAAGAGGCAGCCACGUCUUCUCCAGACAACAUAUGACGCCCAUCCUUCGUCUCCCCUACUGGUCCUCUUACCGUUGGGGAUUCCGUGAUGAAGAAUGAUGACCGCUGCAGUGGUGGCCAGAAACCUUCUCAUUCCCAAAGAUAACAGACUACUUUCCAAACGGUCUGAUAAGUUGGUUGUUAAGGAUUCUCUGGCUCUCAGUGUUCAGUGUGCAGGUUCUGUGUCUAAUAUGACCCAACGCCUAUUUGCUCGAACCCGCCAAGUUGAAUCAUUGGCGGCUGAAGUGAUGAGUCUCAAACAGGACAUUAGAGGGCUCAAGCAUGAGAAUAAACAGUUGCACCGGCUCGCACAUGACUAUGCUACAAACAUGAAGAGGAAGCUUGACCAGAUGAAGGAAUCUGAUGGUCAGGUUUUACUUGAUCAUCAGAGAUUUGUGGGUUUGUUCCAAAGACAUUUAUUGCCUUCGUCUUCUGGGGCUGUACCGCAUAAUGAAACUCCAAAUGAUCAACCUCUGAUGCCUCAUCCUUCUAGGGUUCUGUCCAGUACUGAGGCUCCGAAUGAUCCCCCUCUGGUGCCUUCUCUUUCUGGGGCUCUACCGACUGCUGAGACUUCUCUUAAGCAACCUUUGUGAAGGCUCCCUCAUGUUUGUUUAUUUUGACUCAUGUAUAUGUACAUAUUUGUAACUUAUCGGAGAUAUCAAUAAAUAAGCUUUCCUUCAUUUCAAUGUAUUGUGUUAAAUACACCAAAACCUUCUUCGCUAAGUUCUUUGAAUUUUCUUUUGUUGAAGCUUGUAUGUUGAAGCUUUGUGAGUGGAGCAUGUAGGUUAAGGUAGUGUUCCCUUAAUUUCCCGAGGGAGGAAAACUUCUCGGUUGGAGACUUGGAAAAUCCAAGUCACUGAGUGGGAUCGGCUAUAUGAAUCUUAGAACGCCAUUAUGCUCGGUCAUGUGUCAUGUCCUCCGUUAGAUCCAAGUACUCUAAGUCUUUUCUUAGAGUCUCUUCCAAAGUUUUCCUAGGUCUUCCUCUACCCCUUCGGCCCUGAACCUCUGUCUCAUAGUCGCAUCUUCUAAUCGGAGCGUCAGUAGGCUUUUUUUGCACAUGUCCAAACCACCGUAACCGAUUUUCUCUCAUCUUUCCUUCAAUUUCGGCUACUCCUACUUUACCCCGGAUAUCCUCAUUCCUAAUCUUAUCCUUUCUCGUGUGCCCACACAUCCAACGAAGCAUCCUCAUCUCCGCUACACCCAUUUUGUGUACGUGUUGAUGCUUCACCGCCCAACAUUCUGUGCCAUACAGCAUCGCCGGCCUUAUUGCCGUCCUAUAAAAUUUUCCCUUGAGCUUCAGUGGCAUACGACGGUCACACAACACGCCGGAUGCACUCUUCCACUUCAUCCAUCCAGCUUGUAUUCUAUGGUUAAGAUCUCCAUCUAAUUCUCCGUUCUUUUGCAAGAUAGAUCCUAGGUAACGAAAACGGUCGCUCUUUGGUAUUUCUUGAUCUCCGAUCCUCACCCCUAACUCAUUUUGGUCUCCAUUUGCACUGAACUUGCACUCUAUAUAUUCUGUCUUUGCUCGGCUUAGGCGAAGACCUUUAGAUUCCAACACUUCUCUCCAAAGGUUAAGCUUUGCAUUUACCCCUUUCUGAGUUUCAUCUAUCAACACUAUAUCGUCUGCGAAAAGCAUACACCAAGGAAUAUCAUCUUGAAUAUGUCAUGUUAACUCAUCCAUUACCAACGCAAAAAGGUGAGGACUUAAGGAUGAGCCUUGAUGUAAUCCUACAGUUAUGGGAAAGCUUUCAGUUUGUCCUCAUGAGUUCUUACGGCAGUCUUUGCUCCUUCAUACAUAUCCUUUAUAGCUUGGAUAUAUGCUACUCGUACUCCUUUCUUCUCUAGAAUCCUCCAAAGAAUGUCUCUUGGGACUCUAUCAUACGCUUUUUCCAAAUCUAUAAAGACCAUGUGUAAAUCCUUUUUCCCAUCUCUAUAUCUUUCCAUCAAUCUUCGUAAGAGAUAAGAUUGCCUCCAUGGUUGAGCGCCCUGGCAUGAACCCGAAUUGGUUGUCCGAAACCCGUGUCUCUUGCCUCAAUCUAUGCUCAAUGACUCUCUCCCAGAGCUUCAUUGUAUGACUCAUUAGCUUAAUACCCCUAUAGUUCAUGCAAUUUUGUACGUCGCCCUUAUUCUUGUAGAUAGGCACCAAAGUGCUCGUUCGCGCCACUCAUUUGGCAUCUUCUUCGUUUUCAAAAUCCUAUUGAAAAGGUCAGUGAGCCAUGUUUAUACCUGUCUCUCCCAAAACUUUCCACACUUCGAUUGGUAUAUCGUCUGGGCCUACUGCUUUUCUAUGCUUCAUCUUCUUCAAAGCUACAACCACUUCUUCCUUCCGGAUUCGACGAUAAAAAGAGUAGUUUCUACACUCUUCUGAGUUACUCAACUCCCCUAAAGAAGCACUCCUUUCAUGUCCUUCAUUGAAAAGAUUAUGAAAAUAACCUCUCAAUCUGUCUUUAACCGUGUUCUCUGUAACAAGAACCUUUCCAUCCUCAUCCUUGAUGCACCUCACUUGGUUUAGGUCCCUUGUCUUCUUUUCCCUUGCUCUAGCUAGUUUAUAGAUAUCCAACUCUCCUUCUUUGGUAUCUAGUCGCUUAUACAUAUCGUCAUAAGUCGCUAACUUAGCUUCUCUCACAGCUUUCUUCGCCUCUUGCUUCGCUUUUCUAUACAUUUCCCCAUUUUCAUCGGUCCUAUCCUUGUAUAAGGUUUUACAACAUUCCUUCUUAGCCUUCACCUUUGUUGUACCUCCUCAUUCCACCACCAAGAUUCCUUUUGGUGUGGGGCAAAGCCAUUGGACUCUCCUAAUAUCUCUUUUGCUACUUUUCAGAUACAACUAGCCAUGAAUAAUAUCAAAACUCUCACCCGUUUUUCUCCCCGUUUUUCUCUCACCCUCCAUUUCUGCAAAUCACCUACCUCCCUCUCUCCCUAUGUACUCCCUACUUCUCUCAUAAUAUCAAAACUUUCAAACCCAAUUCAAUGCCUCAUUACCUAGUUUUUUUUUUGUAUAUCUUUUUCAACUAAACCCUAAACAAUCUACUGCUGCAAGCAACAUAACGUCCACUUUGCAGAUUUUUGUGGAACCACUUUGCAGGUUUUGUGGAACCACUUUAAAAAUUCAAAUCUUUAAGCACCUGAGUACUGGAAAUUCAAAACUUCAAUAGGCAUCCCUCCUUACCACAGAUAUGUAGUUUUAAAAAUAAAACCAAAAGGAUUAAUUCCAAUUAACAUAUAACUUUAAAACUACCAUAGUAAUAUUGAUUAAUUAAACUACUUUUUAAAUAUGCCCAGCAAGGUAACUUUUGGGUUUGACAAAAAUUUUAAACCUACGAAGGGAUAUAUCAAAAUCAAUUUGUAAGUAUGACAAAAGUCCCUAUGACAGUAUCAAAGCAACUAUAAUCAUAAAGAAGUUGAGAGAUUACUGUCUGAUUAUCAAAACCACUACUGGAUUUAUGCAGACACAAAAUCUCACAAUAUUAUUACCACGACCUUAUGCAUAACAGGAACAACACUAUAAUCAUUUGCCUAACAGACAUUAACUCUUCUACAACAGCAAGUUUAACAACCAACCAACCUUUGAACAAAGAACACACAGACAGAAAGAAGCGGGAUAGAUAAGGGGCAAAGCAAUUUUCUUACUUCUACAUCAAAGCAAAAGAACAACCAUUAUAUAGGUAUGCCAUUAUCAUCUGAAGAACAAAUCCAAUUGGCAGCUUUUAGGUACCUACAAUUAUAAGCAAAGUUUGGAAUUCACAAAAAAUACUGGGCAAAUACUAAGGCUACCAUUUGAAAAAGCUAAACAACAACAAACUUUGACAUAUUAACUACAACUAAAUUCAGAUGACAUUCGAUAUAUGAAGACAAUCUGAUAAAUCAAAGGCUCUAAAAUCAAUACCAUAUUUCAUGUGCCUUUUAUUGAUAGUGAACCCAACAGUAGAAUCAGGACAAAAAUUUGAUUUAAAACCUUGCUAUCUUUGUCCUUGUAAAUAUGAUAUUUUGGCAUCAACAAUAUAUCACGAAAAAAAAAAACCAAAUAUAUAUGAACUCAAAGAAAAUAUAGAACGAAAAUAAAAAAGCAAAUUAUGAACAUUUAGAAGCUAAUUUCAUUAGCAAUUAAAGCAACCAAGCUCUCUCAACAUCAAGAUUCAGAACCCCCCAGGAACCCAAAAAUUUGAUGAAAACUUUUCUAAUCACUCAAUUGGAUUAGACAAAAUCAUAAAAAAAAAUUCUAAAGCCCAAUUAUAUUAAAUCACAAAUUUGAAGCAGAAUUUGACAUGCAAUAAGUCAAUAAGAUUGGAAUCACUUCAGACUAACCUCGAUGGCAGGGCCUCCGGAAUCGCCCGAUCCGAACCAACCAAAAAAAAUCUAUUAACUUGAACUUCAACCUAACUAUAAAGAGGAGCUUUAUAACAUCAACAUGCCAAAACAACCAAGCCCAACAAAUUAACAAACUAAUUUUUCUUAAUCAAUAAUAGCAUACAUAUUAUCAAAUUAUCAAUCAAUAAUUCACAUAUCGUUAAGGGUUAAACAAAUAUAUGAAGACUGGAAAUUUACUCACACAUCUAAUAUAUCCUUGCAUUUCUAUUUCAAUUUAGAAUACGUGGAAAUCACAUCAACAAAUCAAAGCCCUAAAUUUUUAUCAUCCUGAACUGGAAAAAUCUGUAAAAUCUAAAAUUUUUGACUAAAAAUGCUAACUUAGGAAUAGGAGGAAAUUUGCAAAUUAGCUAAACAAUGCUAUUAUUUAUCCAAUCAAAGGCAAAUUGGAGUGGUGCAGAACUAACACUACAAAAUUCGUUAAACUAAACAAUGGGUAGAAUGUUUAUAAGAUUUAUAUUUUAUACAAAAAUUAAUCUUCUAAAAAAGCAAAAAACACAAUUUUUUUGUUAAGCAAUCGCAUGGAUUAUAAAUGCCAAAGAUUAGAUGAUGGUAGGCGUCAGAUUACCUCUUUAGCCGAAGAUGCGAAACCCCUCAUUGCCGACAUGGCGGGGAGGAUCUUCUGCCCCAAAAUCUGAACCAACACAAAGAUUAGGCAGUAAAUCACAUAAUAAUAAAUUAAUCAAGUGUUUUAUAUAAUGAAGGUUCAUAAAUUGCAGAAGUAGAGGGUGUACCAUAACUGAUGAGCUUCCAACUCCCACUUUUUGCCUUAAAAUUCCCAACAUCUUUGAUUCUUUCACACAAAAUCACACUGAACGCAAACAGAAAUCAGAGACAAAAUACGAUCUAAGAACUGAAAAUUUCAGUGAAAGCACCGAGAGAGAUGAGGAGGAAUAACAAAUGAUUUACUGGAAAUAUGGAAAAGAAAAAAAACCAGAUCAAAAUUCGGACAGAAAUAAACAAUACGAAUUAGGGGAUUUGGGAGGGGGGACGAACCUGUUUGGCGGAUUGGAGCGGGGAUCAGAUCGACGAUGCGAUGUGUAAAAAAUGAGCGUUGAGGGAGCGGAGCAGCAGCAGCCAACACUUUCAUGCAGAACUUACUUGGAAAACCCAGAUCAAACCAACCUUUAAGUUUCAAGGUUUUUACCCUGGAAUCCAGGCAAAACCAGAUUAGAUUCUAAAUGGGUUUAUCAAAAAUAAUAAUUUGAUCAGAAAUGCUUAUUCCUGUAGUGGGUGUACAUCUGGUACUGCGUAUUCUUGUAAAUUGUCGUUGCAAUAAUACAAUAUUACUCAAAAUGAUGCAGUGGUGGGUGUACCGUGUACGGAUUAAGGAGGGUUUUAGGUGAAUGUGAUCAGCCUACCCAUGUGUCUAAUAAAUUAAAAUAAUAAAAUGGUAUGUGAUGUGAUAUGUUUUAGGUCAAUAUAAUAAUAAAAUAUUAAACAAUGAGCUGUAAAGGAAGAUAUUGCUCUUAGGUCAUCUUCAACCAAAGGUUGACUAAAGGGCUCGUUUUAACCUUCUGAUCCUUUAAGAUAUUAAUAUUUUAAUAAACAAUACAUGAUCAUAUUUGCCUUCAUCUCCAACCAAGAGUCAAAGGGCCAAAGAGCCCGUUUUAACCCUGUCAUAAAAAACCAUAUCCAACAGAGGGUCAAAGGGUUAUAGUAUGGAAUGUGAAGAAUUGAAAUAAAAUAAGGUAAGAUAGUAUGAAAUGAUGCAGAAAAAAUUAGAAAUUCAAAAAAUAAAUAAAUAAACGUCCAAAAAAAAUGGCAUGUUGAAAAAAAAUACAAAAAUGGGCUGGGACCAAAAAGUGACAAUUUCCCUUGGCCUGAAAGCCCUAAACUAGGCUGAAAGAACCAAAAAAAAAAGAGCAGAAACUGGGUUGGGCAGCAAGUGGAAAAGAAAAAAAAUAAAAAAAUAAAACAAAAUGGGCUAGCCAGCGGGUUGGCUGGCUGAAGAUGGCCAGCCAGUUGGCCAUUUGGCCCAUUCAGAUUUCGUGGGGCCCACGAGCCCUCUGGCUUAGCCCUCGGUUAGAGACGAUUUUCGGGUUAUUUCGGCUUGGACCCUUCGGUUAGAAAUGACCUUAUAUUCGGAGUAGGAUAUUCUCCCCUCUUUUUUUCCCUCCUCUUCCCUCUCCCUAUUUGAACAGUCACGGUUAAUCGCGUCAACAUCUUAUAUUAAUUUUUUAUAGAAAGAGAAAGACAAAAUGAAAAAUGUGAAACGAGGGAACGAAAUACGAUGGAAAGAUGAGGGAAGAGAAUCCUAAUCCCUUAUCUUCUUCGUGAGUUUUUUCAGACAGUGAGAUAGUGAGUAUAUAUUACACUCUGUAUUUGUACCCUGCCAUGAAUGAUUAAAGUUUCACUUGGUCAGGAAUUAUUAAAGAUACAGCAAUUACCCUUCUAAGGUGAAAUCAAGCCCAAAUCUGAUGAGGUUCUUAUAAAUAAGGUGAAAUCAAGGGCCAAUCUGUCCCAUAUCCUAUGGACAAAAUUACCCUUCUAAGUUCUAAUAAUUACCAUUCCAACCCAGCCCAAAUCUAAUGGGUUUCUUGUAAAUAAGGUGAAAUUGAGAAGGAAAAAUUUAACUGUAGCUGAAUGAACAGUAAAUCAUUCCUCAAUUUUAGAAUAGAUAGCUAGAAAGUGUAGCUCGGGCGUUGCUGUGGGAAAUGUGAUUCACGCAUUACUGUGGCAUUGGAAAUUGUAUGACAUAUUUUGAUGCACUAAGUUAGAAAACGACUACAUGUGCAAACAAUGCAAAUAACUAAAUUAGACACAAGCCAACUAAUUUCAAUUUUAACCAAAUCAGAAAAACAAUCACAGUCGAACUAAUCUCUACUUCCCAUAUGAAGUAGAAGAUGUCCCCUGUUUUGCAUCUGUGAACCGCGCGGUUUUCACCCUCUACGGACAAAAAGAUGAAAGUAAAAUUGUUUAACAACAUUAUAAAAAUUAUGCAUACAAUAUUAUAUAUGUAUUUGCACAUAAAGUAUAAAGAUUUACUAACAGAUUCGAGGUUAAAUUUAACAAAAUAAGUAAUUAUGAAUGGAAAUCAAACUAUAUCAUAGUUGUUAAAAAAUACUUUUGGCUAAAUCUUACAAAUAGAAUGAAAAUGUCUUUUACCAACUGAAUGAUGCAUAAAAUCGUUAAUUUCAAAAUAAACCAACUUUAAAAAAUCCUAACACGAUAUGACAUUGUAAAAAACCUUAAACCCGUUACUGGAACAAACCUCAAAAUGGCCACUAAUUGUUCUGGAUGGGACACACCAAUUUUUACCAUGAGAAAAAAGCAACUCCAAACCCAAAUUAAGCAUUUGAUAAAUCGUAUUUACUGAAGAGAAUUUAAUUUUUUUUUGAAGGGGAAGCUUACCAGGGUUAGCAAAGUUAAAUUCGAAAGUGGAAGAAUAUUGACAUAAACAUAGUAGUGGGAUUGAUGAUGGAUUCAGUAUGUUAUUUUGUAUCAAUUCAAAUGGAUGAAAACUAUUAAAGGAGCUAUAGGUCACAGUUUGGAGUAUGCAAAAGUACUACUUCAAAUUUUCAAGUUUGGAGUAUGCAAAAGUACUACUUCAAAUUUUCAAGAUGCUCAGUAGAUCUCUAAAUUUCAAAAAGUGUACAAAUUGAAACUAAUAGAGCUAUUUCUAACUUUCCAAAAGUAUUUAAAUUGAAACUAAUAGAUCUUUCUUCUGUAUACUGAUAAUUUAAGAAUUGAAACUAAUUUAACUCUUUUGGAUAUUGAUACUUUAAUAUUUGCUACAAAAAAUGAAUCCAUAACUUUCUUAGAGCACGAAAUUGGAGCUAACAUAAAAAAAAGAAAAUGUAUCAAAUUAACAAUAUGCAAUCAAUUAACAAUUUCAUAACAAAACAACUAAAAAGUCAGACCCAGGGAACACAUAUUUUAUUCGCUUUUGAAUACCAAUUAAGAAAAAAUCUUAUGAUAAAAUUCAAAACCCACAUAAACAAAAAAUUCUAUUAAACUGAAAUCUCCCUAGGAAUAGAGCAUGCUUACAGAAACUUUCCUUUAUGUUGAGAUUGAUUCCGGCAGUUAAUGAAGUUGCAGUGUUUUCUUUGUUUUGGGAGCCAUUCAUACCUGAAGAAACAUUUAAGUAUCAAAUUCCUUCACAAAAUGAGUUUUCACAUAAUCUGAAAAAGGUCUUUUAAUCACAAUCUUAAGAAACAGAACAACCAAUAUAUACACAAUGACAAAGCUUAAUCGAAUGAAAAAUGUAACCACAGUAGACCAAACAAAUGUAACCUUUUGAAUAAAGUAUUUUUAAAUCAUUCGCUGCAAAAGCAGGAAAAACAGAUGGCAAACACAGUUAGUUUUGGAUUAGGUUUAGAAUAUAAUUCAAAAUCUCAUCUGUAACCUUGUUUCCAUCUUGAUCAGCGGCAGUUAAAACCGAUUUGAAAACCUAAUCACAUAAUCAGUUUCUAGCUCGAACAAAAAAGGACAGUUUUUACAGCGAUAAAAAAGUCCGUAAUAAAAGGAUUUUUACCAUCCAUGAACCAGCCACUAUCCGAAGAUGUGUAUGCUUUCGUAACAAUAAGGUUGAGAUCAGUAAGUACUUCUACAACUUCCAGAAGUAUUCCAUGUUUGUUUGCUCUGUUAUUAUUUACAAUCCUAAGAGAAACAAUAUUGGAUGAAAGAUGUGUAAGUUUGAACAAGGGAGAUGGUAAAUAGUUGAAGUGAUUUUGAGGAAUUUAAGGUAUGAUUUAUGCAUAUAGCUUGGUAGGUUCAUUCUCCGCAUGAGUUUCUCAUACUCAUCAUCCAUGUCAUGCGAAAAGCUUAUACUAACUUUUGCAGAAAGUCACCUAAAAAAAUGAAAAAUAAAAUUAGACAAAAGGUUAAAGAGAACAAAAAAACUAAUUGGAGAGAUGAACAGAACCAUUGUAACCAAUCGGAAAAUGACUGUUAAAUGUCACUCAAAAAAAAAAAAAAAAAAAAGAAGAGAGAGAGAGAGAGAGAGAGAGAGAGAGAGAGAGAGAGAGAGAGAGAGAGAGAGAGAGAGAAAUUUCAAUUGGGAUAAAAAUCCCAACUUUCUCAGAGAACUAUCUCAUAACAUACAAAUACCAUUGUUUAGGAGUUAGUUGUAAUUGCAAAAUUUAAUUGGAAGCUAUACAGAGAAAUGUAUAAUAUUUGAAUACGGACAUACCAUUCUGAAUAUUGUGUGAAAUCUACUACUCCAAGCAUUCAUAUUUGUUCUCCAAAGUGCCUAUUAACUGUAAGAAACAUUUUUGCAGGAGUAUGUAAGAAUGAACAUUCAAGUAAAAAAGUAUAGUGAAAAAUCAUUUGUAAAUCGACACAAACACAUGUGGAGGUAGAAAAAAGAUUAGGAUACCGUACACUUUGCGUUGUUGCAUGUUAAAAAGUGUAAUUGCUAUAAAAAGCAGCAGGAGUCUGUCAGUGACUUUGAAGGUGUUUUAUGUGUUUCUUUGAAAAACAUGUUUGACCCUUACUUAUAAAAUUUCUAUUAUGGUCAUGAAAGGUUUUUUCAAAACAAUUUGUUGAUUGAUCCAGUGUGUUAACAACGUUUUCCGCUUUUUAUCCCUUGUUGAUUGAAAAAGACUUAAAAACUAAUGAAAAAUGAUUUCGUUAAAGUAAAUAGUACCAUAAUUGUAACGAGAGGACUGUAAAAUGGGAUGCGUGGGAUUGGUCAUCCACACAUUGAAUGGCUUAUAAUAUUACCACAUUUUUGGAUUUCUAAGCAAGAAAAAUUAAAAUAUGAUUUUUUUCUUAAAAAAUAGUGGGCCUCCUGCACAAUACUCUCCUGCAGCGUUCCUCCCUCCUUCCUUCACCACGCAACAACAAUAAAAUUCCCAAUAACUAAAUAAAGCAACAUCUCCCCAAAACAACCGAAAACCCAUCACUCUCCCGCCAAAUCUCUCUGUCGCCGACUCCAUCCCCAAACCAGCCCAAAACUCAUCAUCACUCCCGACUCUAUGUCAUCUCACCGAAUUUCACAUGGCUCAGCCGCCCUUCCCCCAAUUUCAAACCCUCAGACACACAUAUACAUUACCUUCAAUCUGUGUUGUUCGAUUUUGUUGAUGGGGAUCCAGGUCGAAGAUCCGAGACCAAAAUUUUUGGUGCCCGUUUUCGCUGGAAACCAUGGCUCAUCUGGCGAGCCACAUCCAAAACUACGAGGUCCGAUUCCUCCCCGAGUUCUUUGACUCUCGCUCAAAUUGGACGGAUUUUCGAGUGGAACUGUUCGCCAUGGCCUGCAGCAACGCCGCGGCCGAGUUGCUUGGGGAGGCUGAGUUGGACGCAUCACAAAAGAGAAAGAAAGAGAGAUGGCUUUCUCCAUUCUAUUUCUCCAGGACGGCUUGCUGGCGAUAGAAUGGGUGUUGUCCCUGCGUCAGGAUUUUCCUUUAGUGCACGACAGAUUUGGAAAGUAAUCAAAGAGAACAAGGACUUGGAUCUUCCCGCUCACAAGGUUUGUUAGUUUAUUUUCUUCCCAUUGAUAAUUUGUGAUCUUCACUUCUCAUAUGCAUAUAAUAAAUACACAUACUGUAAUUUAAUUAGGUUAUGGUUGCUACGGUUCGGUGUGAAGAGAUUGCCAACCAGAAAUUCAAACAGUUGGUCCAGGAUGAGGUAUGUGGUCAUUUAUCUCCACAUAUGAGGUAGUGCUCUGAUAAUGUAUCAAAGUCUUGGUUAUUCAAAUUUCUUAAUGCAAAUACCCAUUAUUUUUCAGAAAAAACUUUCUUUGUCUUUAAGCGGUCCUGUAGAGGCUCUACUGGAAACUGGUGCAAAAGACACCUGGGCUUCGAUACGAAAACUACUUAAUCGUGAGACCAAAGUUGCAGUAUCGGAGUUCUCAACUGCAGUUGCCAAUUUUGAGUUGGACAAUGAAACGGUUGUCAAAAUGAAGCAGCAUUUGAAGGAUUAUGCAAGAAAUUGGUGGAGAAAAAAGCAAGAGAAGAGGCUGGGAAAAUUAUGAUCCACAUGAAGGAUCGGUAGGAACUUUUUAAAAAUCUUCUUUUCUUUUUCACCUUGUUAUUUUGGUUGCUGAUCACUUCUGUUGUCAUUUCUCAGGUUUGCCGCAGUCUUCAAUUAUGACAGCGAUUCAAUGCCUAGGGUUUGGACUGGGAACGAAGACAUUAGAAGUAUUACCAAGGAUGCACGAACUGCGGUAAUCAUUGGGAACUUUUGUGGAAGUACAUGUUAUCUAUCUUUGUGACUUAAAGUGAUGUUUUAGUUGUUUGAUCAUCUCUUUCUUGCAGUCUCUGAAGCUUUUGUUGACCAUGGCUGCCAUUCGCUUGGAUGAGAAGCCAGAUAAUAUUGAAAAUGUCCUAGUUUCUUCUCUGGUGGACAGGACUGUUACUGUUUCAUCUUCACAAAAUAGGAAACUAGGACCUCCUACAGAUCCUCUUGCCUCAAGCUCUUGGGAAGAGGUACCAUUUAUUUAUGGGUUUGGUUUUUGUGUAAAAUUUUUCUAUGAUGAAACUCCCUUCUUAUUAAGGUUAACUCUAAACUAGGUUUCUUCAAAGGAUACCUUAAUUACCCCAGUACAGUGCAAGUCAUUGUCAAGGCAGUUCAAAGCAGAGACUGAAUAUAGUGUCACUCAAGCUAUUUCGGCACAGGUAUACUUAAGUUUAACUUCAGUAGUCUAAUUGUUUUUAUAUCGUUUAAUUAGAGUUGCAUCUCGAAUAAAUGGAUUUUGUCUUUUAUAAAAGGGUAGAGGUCGCACUUGGUGCGAUGGCAAGUGCCUUCGCCCAUGAGCGGUAGGUCUCGGGUUCGAGACUUGGGAGCAGCCUCUCCAUAAAAUGGGGGUAAGGCUAGCCGACAUUCACCUCUCCCAGACCCUGCGUAAAGCGGGAGCCUUGUGCACUGGGUACGACCUUUUUUUUUUUUGUCUUUUAUAAAAGGGUAAACUGCCAAUUUAGUCCCUGAAUUAUCACCUUAGUGAAAAUUAGGUCCCUAAACUAUUUUUUCAGAAAAAUUAGUCCCUGAAUUAUAAAAAUCUGCCAAUUACAUCCCUAAUGUUAUAUUCGAAGCUACUAUAUUCAAUUUUCCAUCAAUUUAAGUCACGUUACUUGCAUGUGAUACACAUUGAAGGCUAGAUUGGUAGUUUUUCAUAAAGAAAUAGUGUAUGGAGUUAACUUUGGAGGAGAAAUUGGUAGUUUUUCAUAAAGAAAUAGUGUAAGUUAACUUUUAAGGGUAAAUUAGACAUUAAAUUCGCAACAUAUAUGAAAUGUUAAGCAUUUAUAAACAAGAAAUGAUGGUAUUACAUUCUAAAGUGUGUCAAGUGACUUAAUUUGACGAAAAAUUAGAUAAAAUAGCUUUGAAUAUAAUAAUAGGGAUGAAAUUAGCAAUUUCUAAUGAAUUUAGGGACUUAUUUUAUUGAAAAAAUAAUUCAAGGACCUAAUUUUCACUGAGGUGAUAGUUCAGGGACUAAAUUGGCACUUCACCCUUUAUAAAAUGUUCUUUAAAGAUAUUGUUAUGAAAAUAUGAAUAUUGGAACAUGUUCCUGCAAAAGUAAUGAACAACUGGUGGGAGGAACGUGGAAAUAGGACGCAUGCAUUGUCCUCGGAUGACAUUUUGGGCGGGAGUUCUUAUGUAAAUUGGAUUUAGUUUAGUAGUGAAACCAAACAUAUGGAAACAUUUCAUAUUGAAAAUCGCGCUGAUUCUUGACUUGGGAAUGGUUUAGUCAGAUAGGACCGACUUAUAAUCAAGUUCAGUGUAUUCUUGUUUUUUCUACAAAGAAAAAUCCUAGUCCUAUUACUAUUUUUGUAACGAGCUCCCUAUCUUUAUGCUUAUAGCUCUGCUCUAUCAUGAUGUUGUUUGCUUUUGUACUUUCAGGAGGCUCACAAGCGGAGUAACAACUGGUUACCUCCUCCAUGGGCUAUAAUGGCGAUGAUCGUUCUUGGUUUUAACGAAUUUAUGAUGCUUUUAAAGUAAUUACUUUCGUUCUUUUUUGUUUCCUUUUGCGAGUUUUAGGUUUUGGACACUUUUAAGUGUCCAGACGCUAAUGUCUUGCACAUAUGUUAAUCACUGUGCCUUUUUUCUUCAAAUGAAACAGGAACCCUCUCUACCUCAUGGUUCUAUUUGUUGCAUUUUUACUUUCAAAGGCCUUAUGGGUACAGAUGGACAUUACAGGACAGUUCCAGCAUGACGCUGUAAGUAUAACAAUAACAACAACAACAAAGCCUUUUCCCACUAAGUGGGGUCGGCUAUAUGAAUCCUAGAACGCCAUUGCGCUCGGUUUUGUGUCAUGUCCUCCGUUAGAUCCAAGUACUCUAAGCCUUUUCUUAGAGUCUCUUCCAAAGUUUUCCUAGGUCUUCCUCUACCCCUUCGGCCCUGAACCUCUGUCCCGUAGUCACAUCUUCGAACCGGAGCGUCAGUCGGCCUUCUUUGCACAUGUCCAAAUCACCGGAACCGAUUUUCUCUCAUCUUUCCUUCAAUUUCGGCUACUCUUACUUUACCUCGGAUAUCCUCAUUCUCAAUCUUAUCCUUUCUCGUGUGCCCACACAUCCCACGAAGCAUCCUCAUCUCCGCUACACCCAUUUUGUGUACGUGUUGAUGUUUCACCGCCCAACAUUCUAUGCCAUACAACAUCGCUAGCCUUAUUGCCGUCCUAUAAAAUUUUCCCUUGAGCUUCAGUGGCCUACGACGGUCACACAACACGCCGGAUGCACUCUUACACUUCAUCCAUCCAGCUCGUAUUCUAUGGUUGAGAUCUCCAUCUAAUUCUCCGUUCUCUUGCAAGAUAGAUCCUAGGUAGCGAAAACGGUCGCUUUUGUGAUCUUCGCUAGAUUGCUCCGGUCAUUAGUGUGGAUAAGUAUAUAAAUGGAUAGAGAUAGGAAAGCAAACACAAGAUGUACGUGGUUCACCCAGAUUGGCUACGUCCACGGAAUAGAAGAGUUCUCAUUAAUUGUGAAGGGUUUAUACAAGUACAUAGGUUCAAGCUCUCCUUUAGUGAGUACCAGUGAAUGAUUUAGUACAAAUGACAUUAGAGUACAAAUGACAUUAGGAAAUAUUGUGGGAGAAUGAUCUCGUAAUCACGAAACUUCUAAGUAUCGGAGUGUGGUAUCAUCUUGACUUGCCUUAUCUGUCUCAUAGGUAGAUGUGGCAGCUUCUCUGGAAGUACUCUUCCUCCAUCCAGGGGUAGUAUCUUUAACUGGUGGAGAUGCACAAGGUAAUGUAUCAAUUUCACUUGAAGCUUACUUGUAGUUUCAGGCUUGGUCCAGCGCGAUACAAACCAUGUAGUAGGAGUCCCCCAAGUCGCCGAGCUAGGGGAUCUGCUGAAAGAGGUGACAGACAAGGUAAGCAAUCAGAGCUCUGGCUGAUUGUUCACCUUCUCCCCAUCUUGCAGCAGCAUGAAGGAUAAAGAGAAGAAAAAUGAGAAGAGAUGAUAUGGGAUACUUUUGCUUUUGAAGAAGUAACUUUCCACAGGCUUAUUCUUGAACUGAACUGGAGGGUUUUCUGGUUUCCUCCAGAGUAUAAGGCCGACUGAAGAAUUUGAGGGUCAAAACAAGUCCAUCAAAUCUAGAGUACGUUCGACCCUGCUGAUAUGGGAUACUUUUGCUUUUGACAGAGUAAUGGAUGUAUCGGCACGUGUGCUGUUACGCUUGUCUCCACAUGCUUCCUUGUAUCCUUCGCACUUGCCCUAUCUGUUCCUCAAGCAGAUGCGGUAUCUUCCCUGGAAACAUAAGAUGUUGAAGAUGAGUACUCGAGAGCAAUGACAGGUAAGUAAUCAGGUAAGGGGUUCCAGGCAGUCAGUUCCUGGCUGGAAGCUUGAUUUCAAGUGCUGACUGAUUGCUCUCUUUCUCCUUGUCUUGCAGGUAAAAACAAGGCCAAAGGAAAAGAUAGGGAAAAAGCAUGAUAUGGGAUACUCUUGCUUUUAACCCUGAUGAUAUGAGAUAUUCUUGCUCUAGUAUAGCUUGUUUGCAGAGGUAUUAUCGGGGGGAAAGAAAGCUGAAUAUUUCGAAAGAUUUCGUUGGGAGUGCCCUCUCAGAUAUGAGGAAGGGUUGAGCAUUUUUGCAGGUCUGCCUGUUCGUUAGGGAUGGAGGUCGACAUAUAUAGGAGUCUCCCUAACAACAAGUAGUAAUGCUAUUCCUUUACCCUGCUUGGUCAUAGCACGGUAAUGGGAGCUGCCAGCUUCACAUGUUUUAACUCUGUCAGAGGACUUUGAAAAAGUGGUAUGUGGUAUCUGGCUCUCGAGAUUCGGAGAACGACGCUUCUUCGAUUUUUGAGAAAGCAAUCAUGCUGGGGGUCUGGCUCUCGAGAUUCGGGGAGCAGUGUCUCUUCGAUUUUUGAGAAAGUAAUCAUGUUGGGAGUCUGGCUCUCGAGAUUCGGAGGGCGGUGCCUUUUCGAUUUUGGAGUAAGCAAUCUUGUUGGGAGUGUUUUCUCGGAUGUGAGUAAAGGUUGGGCAUGUUUGCUAGUCUACCUUGCCACGAAGCACGGAGGUUGACACACAGGGACUUUCCAAUUAUCCAGCAGUGGUACUGUUCCUUUACCCUUGUGGGUAAUAAUAUGGUAGCUAGACCUUCAAAAUUUAUGGGUCUAAACUUUGUUAGUGCUGUUUCUUUGCUAUUCUUUUACCCUUCUUGGUCAGAGCGAUGUAGUGGGAGCUGCAAGCUUCACGUGCUCAACUUUGGCAGAGAACUUUGGCAAAGUUAUCUGUGGUACCCAUGAGCUAUUGUUGCGUGUGGGAAGUGGGUGAUUGGACAGUAAGAUUCAUGUGUUUUCUACUUCCCCAGAAAAUCUUCGACAGAAUACCCAUAAUUUCCGCAAAGCUGAGUGUGCGUGUGACAGGUGCUGACAAGGCUGGAAAAGUAGGUGCCUCCUCGAUUUCUGAGAUCGGCCCUCGUGGUCUCUGAGGAGCCCAACUUUUGAGAAAGCGAGCGCCUCUUCGAUUUCUGAGAUCGGCUUUCGUGGUCUUUGAGCAGCCCAACUUUUGAGAAAGCAAACACCUCUUCGAUUUAUGAGAUCAACCCUCGUGGUCUCUAAGCAGCCCAGUUUUUGAGAAAGCAAACGCCUCUUCGAUUUCUGAGCAGGCGCCUCUUCGAUGUCUGAAGCUCCGUCGAGUGCAGCUUUUUAUAGGGGCUGGCAUUAAGUUCCAAAGCACACUUGAAUCUCCACCAGUAGAAGCUCCAUUCUUGCACUUCUAAGAUCUUGAUUUGUCCGACCUCUUCUCUCUUCAACACCUUUGAAAAUGUCUGGCCCCUCCGACCGUCGUUUUGACUUGAACCUUGUUGAAGAGGCAGCCCCGCCUUCUCCAGACAACAUAUGGCGCCCAUCCUUCGUUUCCCCUACUGGUCCUCUUACCGUUGGGGAUUCCGUGAUGAAGAAUGAUAUGAUCGCUGCGGUGGUGGCCAGGAACCUUCUCACUCCCAAAGAUAACAGACUACUUUCCAAACGGUCUGAUGAGUUAGCUGUUAAGGAUUCGCUGGCUCUCAGUGUUCAGUGUGCAGGUUCUGUGUCUAAUAUGGCCCAACGCCUAUUUGCUCGAACCCGCCAAGUUGAAUCAUUGGCGGCCGAAGUGAUGAGUCUCAAACAGGAGAUUAGAGGGCUCAAGCAUGAGAAUAAACAGUUGCACCGGCUCGCACAUGACUAUGCUACAAACAUGAAGAGGAAGCUUGACCAGAUGAAGGAAACUGAUGGUCAGGGUUUUACUUGAUCAUCAGAGAUUUGUGGGUUUGUUCCAGAGGCAUUUAUUGCCUUCGUCUUCUGGGGCUGUACCGCGUAAUGAAGCUCCAAAUGAUCAACCUCUGAUGCCUCCUCCUUCUAGGGUUCUGUCCAGUACUGAGGCUCCGAAUGAUCCCCCUCCGAUGCCUUCUCUUUCUGGGGCUCUACCGACUGCUGAGACUUCUCCUAAGCAACCUUUGUGAAGGCUCCAUCUUGUUUGUUUAUUUUGACUCAUGUAUAUGUACAUAUUUGUAGCUUAUCGGGGAUAUCAAUAAAUAAGCUUUCCUUCAUUUCAACGUAUUGUGUUAAAUACACCAAAGCCUUCUUCGCUAAGUUCUUUGAAUUUUUCUUUUGUUGAAGCUUGUAUGUUGAAGCUUUCUGAGUGGAGCAUGUAGGUUGGGGUAGUGUUCCCUUAAUUUUCCGAGUGAGGAAAACUUCUCGGUUGGAGACUUGGAAAAUCCAAGUCACUGAGUGGGAUCGGCUAUAUGAAUCUUAGAACGCCAUUGUGCUCGGUCCUGUGUCAUGUCCUUCGUUAGAUCCAAGUACUCUAAGUCUUUUCUUAGAGUCUCUUCCAAAGUUUUCCUAGGUCUUCCUCUACCCCUUCGGCCCUGAACCUCUGUCCCAUAGUCGCAUCUUCUAAUCGGAGCGUCAGUAGGCCUUCUUUGCACAUGUCCAAACCAUCGUAACCGAUUUUCUCUCAUCUUUCCUUCAAUUUCGGCUACUCCUACUUUACCCCGGAUAUCCUCAUUCCUAAUCUUAUCCUUUCUCGUGUGCCCACACAUCCAACGGAGCAUCCUCAUCUCCGCUACACCCUCUCCAACAAAUAGAACCACUAAGAAAACUCGCAGAAGAAGCUCAGGGGAAUCAAACACCAGAAGCACAAAGGCGGCCAGUUUCUCUUUCUUCUCAGAGUUAUAGAAGUGAAACACCUCAGCCAAAUCCAGUAACAAGCUCAUUCACGGAGUCCUCAGUGUCAUCCAAUAUCUCGUCAUCAGAUACCGGCAUGGAAUACUCAAGCCCUCCUUUAAGACAAAGGCGAACGGCAAACGUUGAGGAAGUUGAAUCUUCAUGAUGUAUGAUCUCUGUUGUUUGUACCGUGUGCAACAGAUUAAGGUCACUACACAUUUGUGCGAUAGUUUUCUUUCUUUUUUAUUUUGUUUCUUGUUUGUAGUUAUUGAAAAUUUGAAAUAAAAAUAAACUGGGUUUGCUCAGUGCCUGGUUUUACAAAUUAUAGGUUAGUUGUGAUGUUUCGAGGAAUUAGAUUGUAUUUUGUGGGUUCAAUUAGGGAUGUUUUUGGGUCUUUUUUUAAGAAUAUAUUGAAUCAGUUUAUUUGUUAUUUACGUUAUUCCAUUGCGAACUUUUGAAGGUGAUCUCAGUGCACCUGUUGUGAUCACAGUUUGUGAUUUUGCACUCCCUGAUGGCAGGUCACUACUCGAAGCUAGAGAGACUUCUUCAGCCCUUGGUUAGUUAAAGCCUACAUUAGAGUCAAUAUCAUGGAUUCUCUAUUCCUUAUUUAGUAAUAACUUGAUUUAUGCAACCCUCAAGUUUAUUUAGCCAUGUAAAUUGAACUUUUUCCUGCUUUAAUGUAGGGGCAGUUGGAUCAGCUGACGGGUCAGCAUUAGCAAAGGUUGGUUCAAUUGUAAUUACUUAUCUCUAUUUAACCAUGUGUGUUUAUUUUUGAUGUAUAACUGAAAUAUAUAGUUGUGUGAACAACCCAUGAAGAAGAAUAUUAGCUGGGUGAGCAACUUUUGUUUUUUAUAUUGUGUUUUGAAAAUGUUUUGGAGCAACAUUGUCGACUGUAGCGCAGAGUAUUUUUUAUGAAAGAAAAGAUCAAAGAAUCCCCAGUUUUUAAUAGCUCUGUAUCCAUAGUUGCCAAUUUUUCUGUUAUUACUACAACAAUUCUGAAAGGGACUCAAUUUUCGGAGUCUUCAGUUAUUGUUAACUUUUUUUUAAUCGAAAGUUUUUUUUCACCUUUUGGUUUAGGCUUCUCUAAAUAUCGAAGCUAUAUUUAAUGAUUUCAUGUUUUUUUUUUAAUUGUGUUACAUCUUAAUUUGAUGGUGUUUACAGAAGGAUACAUGUAGAUGUAGCAACUGUUUUGUAAGAGCCAAAGAAACUGUACAUGGGCUUGGGUUAGCAGUUGCUAUUUCAUCCCACAGAUGGAGACGCUAUUGAUAUUGAGUAAUCUUCGAAGAAAGUCACCUCUUCAGAGAAGUAAUCUGGCAGCAUUCGUUAAGCACUUUCCAAGGUACGGACUUCACCAAUCCCAGGUUUUAGUUUGUUUCUAAUUUAUUGAAUUUUUAGGGGCAUAUUCCGUAAUUAAAGGGGAAGGAGGGGUCCAAUUUGGUUUCGAAAUCUUCAAUCUGGUCAAAUGAAAGAAUCAAAAUUCAAAGAUAAUUUGCCACCAAUCAUAGGACUCUGACUUCCAACUCUGCUGCUGCACUGAAAAAUCAUAGUUUUCUUCAUACGUUGGAAACAUAUUCUUUUGUUUUUGGUUUUUUUUACUAAUAUUAGUAGCUUUUUAGGGUUUAACUAUUUGAUUUCACACAUUCAUUACAGACACAGUAAAUAGUUACAUUUUAAAUUCGUAUAAGCAUGGAAUUUUUGCUUUUGUUUUUAUUGUUGUUGCCUUGAUUGUGGUUAUCUGACUGAUUAAUACUCCAUGAUAUAUUGAGCAAUAUUGUGCGGCUCUAAGAAUUUCGUAUGUGUUUACGCGUAUUUUUGUACUCUGGAUAAUUCUAAUCAAAUUCCAUUGCUCCUAAGCUAAGGUCAGAAUUUGUAGCAUAUAAGGGAAGGUUAGCAGAUUCUUGCCAAUUAUCCAAAGCUGGAUAUUAAGGUCUUUAAGAUUAAUAUCUUUUUGUAUGUGUAGCAUCUGCUUGGAAAAGGUUUCAACUUUAUUUUUUAUUUGUUAGAUGAUCAAUUGAUGUAUUUUAUGACAGUUGAUCCGCAAGAUAUAAACAUGAUUUCUUUGUUUAUGUAUACUGUUUAAUUAUAUCAAUGGAAAUUGGUGCUGCCAUUGUGGCAGUAUAUGAAUUUCUGGCUUUUGAGAUAAAGUACUAAGAAAUUUUGAUUUCUUUUUUCUUUACAUGCUUUUCUUUUAAUUUUGCAGGAAUUCUCACGUUGCCUUGAUUAAGUUAUACAUGGCCAUGAGAAGGUAUUGCUCAUCCCCACAAACAUUUUGUACAUGUGUGGCAUUAAUAUAUUUUGUUUUCUGAUUGAAUUUGUUUUCAUUCAAUGGGGUUGGCGAACUAAACAGCAAGUAGCUUUUUAAUCGUGUUGAAAUUGAAGUCCUAAUUUUGGUAGUUUGUUCAUAAUUAGUGUGUUAUGUUGUUUUCCUGUGUGUUUUAUGUGUUUCUUAAUUUAUGGGAGUCUUCACAAGAAAUGUUUUGUACAAAGAUAUUUUGCUUCGAUCAAUAUGAUAUGGUUACAUUCAUUCUUUUAGUGUUUAAUUCACUUUUCAAAUCCACGUAAAUAAAUACAUUUAAAUUGUAUAAAUCGUGGGUAGAAUGCCGUAAUUAUAAAAGGGCUUUCCGCACGUGCGUGAGCGCGUGCAGGGAGGCUAGUAUGGAAAUUAAUGAAAAGGAUUUCAAAACUUUGUAUUUUAAUAAAAAAAAUAUCUAAUAACUUUAUUUAAUGAUAAGGAUAAAAAAAAAAACAUAAAAUAUAAACAUGUGUGCCCAACGUGUCCCCCCAACCCCCUUCCCUCACCCCUUGAAAUAUAACUAAAUAAGAAAAAGUACAUGAAAAUACACACACAUAUAUAUAUAUAUAUAUAUUAUAUUAUGUAUGAAUUAGCUAACUGUAACAACGAUGACACUAAUUAUGUUUUUAAUCUUUGGUAGCACUGCAAGAAGCUGUUGAAACUGGUCCCGUACAAGGCUUUGGUAAAAGGCUCAGUUCCAUUCUAGCCACCUAUCUUUCCGAGAAGUUUGACUCUGGUUUAAUUAUGUUUUUAAUCAAUCAUAUAACUUGAAUGCAUUUUUCACAUGUAACACUGACCACCUUGUUUUUUUGGGUUUUAAUUUUGCCACUAAACUAAAUGUUUAUAUGUAUUCUUACCAGUUGUGUGUUUUCCAUUCGUUGGAAGGUUUAUUGUUAGUGUUCUAUGGGCUUGUACUGUUUCUAGUUCUGACUUUAUUUUGUAUGUCUUGAUCUCGCUUAUGCAUCAUAGGUAUGACAUGGAGGCCAUCUACUUUGAUGAAGGUGUAAGGAACUCAAAACGACAACUGUUGGAGUCAAAAGCAUUGGAUGUAUGUCUAUUCCCCUUGUCUCUCAAAUUUAACAGAGGGUUUAGUUAAGUUUUCAGUUUCUUAGACAAUUUUUGCAACAUAAGGAAGUCGUGAUUGGAAGUGGUUUUAGUUAGGUUGUCAGUUUCAUAUACCAUGUUACUAUUGGCCUCAAUCUCAGAAUGAACACCAUGAUAAUGAAGUGGUUUGGCAACAUAAACUUUAUCCUUCAAGUAUCGUUAUCAAACAAUUAUGCUUAAGUCAACAGCUGAACAUCAUUACUGGAGCAUGACUCCAUCUAAUGACAUUACCAGAAGCUUAAAGUCACUAAUCUCACUCUGAGAAACAGAGGACAAAUAGAGCUUGCUUGUUAUGCAAUACACAAAAAGUAACAUAGCCUUAUAGUUCAGAUUUUCUUCAAAGUUCAAAAUGAAAUUGGUUAAAGGGUCUGUUGGACUUGGUGUGGUCAACUUUGUAAAUUCGUUGCUGCCACUAAUGCGAAUUAUUAUUUUGUUUAAAUCUUGCUUACCUCUGAAUUUUCCAGUUUGUUUACCCUGCGUACUCGGCCAUGCUCGGACACCUGCGUUCUAAAGCCCUUGAAGAUUUUCAAGUGAGGCUGGAGCAGUCAUUGAACAAAGGAGAAGGAUUUGCUUCAUCUGUUCGAACCUGUGCUCAGUCUUCUAUGCUUGAGUUUGAGAAAGGAUGUGCAGGUAAUAGAUUUGUUUAGUGAAUUAACAUGUUUGUCAACCAAAAUAUUUCUUUCAUUACUUUUAACAUGUUUCUCCUUUCAGAUGCUGCCAUACAACAAGCUAAUUGGGAUGCUUCAAAAGCCCAGGAAAAGCUUCGUCGUGAUAUAGAUGCACAUGCAUCAUCGGUUCGUAGUGCAAAACUGGCAGAAUUGAAUUCCAACUAUGAGGUAGUGCUCUGAUAAUGUAUUAAAGUCGUGGUUAUUCUAAGACUAUUCUUAUGACGUUAGGCUCGUAAUCUGCGUUAUUCAAAUUUCUUAAUGCAAAUACCCUUUAUUUUUCAGAAAAAACUUUCUUCGUCUUUAAGUGGUCCUGUAGAAGCUCUACUCGAAACUGGUGCAAAAGACACCUGGGCUUUGAUACGAAAACUACUUAAUCGUGAGACUGAAGUUGCAGUAUCAGAGUUCUCAACUGCAGUUGCCAAUUUUGAGUUGGACUACAAAACGGUUGCCAAAAUGAAGCAACAUUUGAAGGAUUAUGCGAGAAAUGUGGUGGAGACAAAAGCAAGAGAAGAGGCUGGGAAAAUUAUGAUCCACAUGAAGGAUCGGUAGGAACUUGUUAAAAAUCUUUUCUUUUUUACAUUGUUAUUGGUUGCUGAUCACUUCUGUUGUCAUUUCUCAGGUUUGCCGCAGUCUUCAAUUAUGACAGCGAUUCAAUGCCUAGGGUUUGGACUGGGAACGAAGACAUUAAAAGUAUUACCAAGGAUGCACGAACGGUAAUUACUGGGAACUUUUGUGGAAGUACAUGUUAUCUAUCUUUCUGACUUAAACUGAUGUUUUAGUUGUUUGAUCAUCUCUUUCUUGCAGUCUCUGAAGCUUUUGUCGACCAUGGCUGCCAUUCGCUUGGAUGAGAAGCCAGAUAAUAUUGAAAAUGUCCUCGUUUCUUCUCUGGUGGACGGGACUGUUACUGUUUCAUCUUCACAAAAUAGGAAACUAGGACCUUCUACUGAUCCUCUUGCCUCAAGCUCUUGGGAAGAGGUACCAUUAAUUUAUGGGUUUGGUUUUAUGUAAAAUUUUUCUAUGAUGAAACUCUUUUCUUAUUAAGG
rnacentral:lncRNA from 1 species